UGGGUUGUAGCUCAGUGGUAGAGUGCUUGCCUCGCAUGCAUGAGACGCUGGGUUCGAUCCUCAGUACUACAA
rnacentral:tRNA from 1 species